CCUACGGGAGGCAGCAGUGAGGAAUAUUGGUCAAUGGGCGGGAGCCUGAACCAGCCAAGUCGCGUGAGGGAAGACGGUCCUAUGGAUUGUAAACCUCUUUAGGCGGGGAGCAAUGCCGGGCACGCGUGCCCGGAGGGAGAGUACCCGCAGAAUAAGCAUCGGCUAACUCCGUGCCAGCAGCCGCGGUAAUACGGAGGAUGCGAGCGUUAUCCGGAUUUAUUGGGUUUAAAGGGUGCGUCGGCGGAUUUUUCAGUCAGCGGUAAAAUGUCCGGGCUCAACCCGGGCCGGCCGUUGAAACUGGGGACGUUGAGUGGGCGAGAAGUAUGCGGAAUGCGUGGGGAAGCGGUGAAAGGCAGAGAUAGCACGCAGAACUCCGAUUGCGAGGGCAGCAUACCGGCGCCCGACUGACGCUGAGGCACGAAAGCGUGGGGAUCGAACAGGAUUAGAUACCCGAGUAGUC
rnacentral:rRNA from 1 species